rnacentral:RNase_P_RNA from 2 species
GGAGUCGGCCAGGCAGUCGCUGCCAGCCCCGCAAGGGUGCAGGCAGAGGAAAGUCCGGGCUCCACAGAGCGGGAUGCAGGGUAACCCCCUGGCACGGCGACGUGACGAACAGGGCCACAGAGACGAGUCGCAUGGCGCAAGCCGUGCGGGUGAAACGGGCAACCUCCAUCCGGAGCAACACCAAAUAGGCAAGCGCUUGAGGUCGGCUCGGCCGAGCUUGCGGGUAGGUGGCUAGAGCCUCGGGGUAACCCGGGGUCGAGAGGAAUGGCUGUCGUGGCCGCGGCCCUUCACGGGGCCGCGGUCAACAGAACCCGGCUUAUCGGCCGGCUCCCAAU